GCGUCCGUGGCGCAACGGUUUAGCACAUACCCUCGGAAUGAAGAUCUGGGUUCGAAUCUCAGCUGACGCG